rnacentral:lncRNA from 1 species
ACCUUGGAAGUAUCGAUCACAGGAUGCAAGGAUAUCAGACAAGUAUUUGGAACUGCAGGUAAAAGUUAGUUCCUAGUUUCUCUCUCUCUCUAAUUUCUCUCUUGAGUCAAAGUCUGCUUCCAUUGCAGGAUCAAUGACCAAGAUUGGACACGCUUCCAUGAAUCAAAACUUAAUGGUGGUUGCCACCAAACUCUGUUCACUUCUUUUUGACCUAUAUCCAAUAGUUCUUUGUGAAAGCGAGCCUUGAAGAUUGCCGCCUCCAAGUCCCGUUUCGAACUCUUUUAUUGGAGUCUUUUAUGAAUCAAGCCUUAAUGGUUUUAGCCACCAAGUCCUGUUCAGACUCAUCCUAAUUAAACAAUAGAUCUUAUAUAUGUAUAUAUAUAUAUAUUUUUUUUUUUGUUUUUUUUUUUUAACAUACUAAAUAAUCUAGGGUCAAAAUUAGAGAGAGGAAUGUGAUAUAUAAUUCUACACAAGGCUUUACCUUCCAGUCUUAUCUGAAAAAUCCGAUCCUAUGUAUACCAAGACCCAAGACAAGCGGUGAAGUCAGGUUAAUGUUGGAGGUUAGCUUCGGUUCUUUCUAACAAGCUAGCAAAUGUGUAUAGUUGACUGGUUGAUCCACUUUAGCAUCUAUAGUAUUAUCUGCAGUCAGUAAAUCUAGAAUGAUGCUAGAAAGUGGUUAGACAUUCAAGUAGUAAUCAUUAGUUCAUAAUCCCCUUCUUGACUCAAUAAAAUUAUUUCUGAAAAGAUUUUUGACAGAAACUCAAGAAAGUGGUGUUAGUAACUACCUCCCCCAGACUUAAAUUGCACCGACUCGGUGCAAAGUGCCCAAGGGUAGGUUAAAAUCAAGUUAGAUGUUUGAUAAUGUUAGAGUGAGAAUGAAGUACCUAUCCGUACUACACAUCCAUCGAUGUAAUACUCUCCAUAUCGAUCGAUGUUACUCGCCCAAAAUCGAUCGAUGUAAUCCUCUC